AUAGAGAUGGCCUGGGAUCUUGUGAAAAUGCAAAUUCUAAUUCCCUAAAUGUGGGACGAGGGCCUGAGAAUCUGCAUUUCUAACAAGCUUGCAGGUGAAGCAGGC
rnacentral:miRNA from 1 species